CUGGGAGCUGUUGCAGCCUGACCUCCAGGCUGCUGCAAACCGUCUGGCCUCCGUGGGAUUCACAGCUCCUCUGAAAUCAAAUCUGGCUGCAGAUUCCUGGCAUUUUUCACCAAAUGCAGUACAUCUGCCACUGCUUUUAAUUCUGAUUGAAAAGGAAUUCGGGUUACAGACCUGCCACUGCUCCCAACACGAGGUUAUCCAGCCCCAACUCUGCAGUCACAGGGCAGCGUGGUGGUCCCAGUGCUCCUGUUCUUGCUGGCAACAUUGGACCUCAAUCCUCACAGCCCUCAGUCCCUGUGAAGCCACUCACAGCCAGGGACAUCUAUGCCCACAUUACUCAGAGGGAAUGCCAGGGCACGCAGAGUGCUGUGGCCAGCGAGUCAGCGUCAGGGCAGUGCGGGCUGGAGGACAAGCUGCCCAUCUCAGCACUGAGACACCAAGAUGAGCCCACGAGUGGGAUGGUGGCUCCUGGAUGAGCUGUGACCUGGACUGGUGCUGGAGUGCCCAAGGCUUGAAGAUGCCAGCAUGAGCCCAUUCAAGCAUCACUAGGAGGUUUAGGUUGGCUAUCAGGAAAGAGUUCUAUCCCCAGAAAGUGGUGGAGCACUGAACAGGCUUUCCAGGGAAUGGUCACAGCCCCAAGGCUGUCAGAGCUCCAGAUGUGUUUGGAAAAUGCUCUCAGGGACAUGGUGGGAUGCUCAGGGUGGUUCUGUGCAGAGAGUUGGUGGUUUGCAGGCAGAACCUGAGGAGCAACAGUACCAGCACUUGCCUGCCCCUGCAGCCCCGGCUCCCAGCAAGGCCGUACAUCCCCAGCCCAUCUUGCACUGAGCAGCUUUGAACUCCUUCCCGGCAGAGGGGUCAGGGUGGCCAUGACACAGAGCUGAUGUCAUGCUGGCACGGGGCCAAGUGCCAGGGCUCCUUCUGGGACCAAUUUGGUUUGAAGCCUGUGGCACAUUGCAGUGGCUAGUGGGACACAUGGCAGAUGAGAAGCAGACAGCGGCUUCCCCGAGCAGGAUGAGCACAGGGAAUGGGGAGCUGGGUCCUGGGACUGAAG
rnacentral:lncRNA from 1 species